AACAGGAUUAGAUACCCUGGUAGUCCACGCUGUAAACGAUGAAUGUUAAAUAUGGGGAGUUUACUUUCUGUAUUACAGCUAACGCGUUAAACAUUCCGCCUGGGGACUACGGUCGCAAGAUUAAAACUCAAAGGAGUUGACGGGGACCCGCACAAGCGGUGGAGCAUGUGGUUUAAUUCGAUGCAACGCGAAAAACCUUACCACUCCUUGACAUGGAAAUUAUACCUAUUCGAAGGGAUAGGGUCGGUUCGGCCGGAUUUCACACAGGUGUUGCAUGGCUGUCGUCAGCUCGUGUCGUGAGAUGUUGGGUUAAGUCCCGCAACGAGCGCAACCCUCAUCCUUAGUUACCAUCAGGUAAUGCUGGGGACUUUAAGGAAAUUGCCAGUGAUAAACUGGAGGAAGGUGGGGAUGAUGUCAAGUCAUCAUGGCCCUUAUGGAGUGGGCUACACACGUGCUACAAUGGUGGCUACAAUGGGCUGCAAAGUCGCGAGGCUAAGCUAAUCCCUUAAAAGCCAUCUCAGUUCGGAUUGUACUCUGCAACUCGAGUGCAUGAAGUUGGAAUCGCUAGUAAUCGUGGAUCAGCACGCCACGGUGAAUACGUUCUCGGGUCUUGUACACACUGCCCGUCACGCCAUGGGAAUUGGUUUCACUCGAAGCUAACGACCUAACCGCAAGGAGGGAGUUAUUUAAAGUGGGAUCGGUGACUGGGGUGAAGUCGUAACAAGGUA
rnacentral:rRNA from 1 species